GGACCCGCACAAGCGGUGGAGCAUGUGGUUUAAUUCGAUGCAACGCGAAGAACCUUACCAGGGUUUGACAUCCUGCGAAUCUCUUGGAAACAGGAGAGUGCCUUCGGGAACGCAGUGACAGGUGGUGCAUGGCUGUCGUCAGCUCGUGUCGUGAGAUGUUGGGUUAAGUCCCGCAACGAGCGCAACCCACGUCUUUAGUUGCCAUCAUUUAGUUGGGCACUCUAGAGAGACCGCCGGUGAUAAACCGGAGGAAGGUGUGGAUGACGUCAAGUCAUCAUGCCCCUUACAUCCUGGGCUACACACGUACUACAAUGCUACGGACAAAGAGCAGCAAGUUCGCGAGGACAAGCAAAUCUCAUAAACCGUGGCUCAGUUCAGAUCGUAGGCUGCAACUCGCCUACGUGAAGGCGGAAUCGCUAGUAAUCGC
rnacentral:rRNA from 1 species